AGUGAACGCUGGCGGUAGGCCUAACACAUGCAAGUCGAAAGGCAGCACAGUAAGAGCUUGCUCUUACGGGUGGCGAGUGGCGGACGGGUGAGGAAUACAUCGGAAUCUACUUUUUCGUGGGGGAUAACGUAGGGAAACUUACGCUAAUACCGCAUACGACCUACGGGUGAAAGCAGGGGAUCUUCGGACCUUGCGCGAUUGAAUGAGCCGAUGUCGGAUUAGCUAGUUGGCGGGGUAAAGGCCCACCAAGGCGACGAUCCGUAGCUGGUCUGAGAGGAUGAUCAGCCACACUGGAACUGAGACACGGUCCAGACUCCUACGGGAGGCAGCAGUGGGGAAUAUUGGACAAUGGGCGCAAGCCUGAUCCAGCCAUACCGCGUGGGUGAAGAAGGCCUUCGGGUUGUAAAGCCCUUUUGUUGGGAAAGAAAAGCAGCAGGUUAAUACCCCGCUGUUCUGACGGUACCCAAAGAAUAAGCACCGGCUAACUUCGU
rnacentral:rRNA from 1 species